rnacentral:rRNA from 1 species
GGCAUCAGGCACACCCCCCAGUAGCCCAAGACGCCUUGCCUAGCCACACCCCAAGGGAACUCAGCAGUGAUAAACAUUAAGCAAUGAGCGAAAGCUUGACUUAGUUAAGGCUAAACAGAGCCGGUAAAACUCGUGCCAGCCACCGCGGUUAUACGAGAGGCUCAAAUUGAUACUCAACGGCGUAAAGUGUGAUUAGAGAAAAUAUAGACUAAAGCCAAACACGUCCCAAGCUGUCAUACGCUAACGGAACCAGAGGCCCUUUAAUGAAAAUAGCUUUAAAAUCCUUGAACUCACGACCAUUAGGAAACAAACUGGGAUUAGAUACCCCAUUAUGCUUAAUAGUAAACAACGAUGAUAUUUUACAAAAACAUCCGCCAGGGAACUACGAGCACUAGCUUAAAACCCAAAGGACUUGGCGGUGCCUCAAACCCACCUAGAGGAGCCUGUUCUAUAACCGAUAAUCCCCGUUAAACCUCACCACUCCUUGUCAACCCAGCCUAUAUACCGCCGUCGCCAGCUUACCUCAUGAGAGACUAACAGUAAGCCAAAUGGGUCACGCCCAAAACGUCAGGUCGGGGUGUAGCGAACGGAGUGGGAAGAAAUGGGCUACAUUUUCUGACCCAGAACACCACGAAAAGUGCCAUGAAAAAUCACAAUUUGAAGGUGG